AUUGAAUAGAGCAUUUACAGCAUUUAUUUUUUGAUAGAAGACAGGCAGCAUGAGAUACACUGGAUAACACAACAAGCACUAAAACAUGGAUAUAAGAUGAGUAUGGUUGAUAAGCUUCUUAAGGAGAUUAAUAGGACUAAAUGUGCUGACGAUAGUAAUAGACAAACAGGGCUACCAUAUAUGAUGGACAUUAAUUCCAUCUCAUUGAAAUUUAAAAGGAAACUAGAGAAACUCUCUGGCCAGAAAAUCGUCUUUAACAGAAGAAAUACACUGUUCAACUGUAUCAGGAAUGACAAAGAUAGGAUUGACGACACAUAUUUCCCUGGAGUAUACCAGAUCCCUUUCUAUGAUAAUGACACAGAUACCAGCACAAACUAU
rnacentral:lncRNA from 1 species